rnacentral:lncRNA from 1 species
GCCCUAGAAGUAGUAAUUUAGUUGAGCUUAGAUGGUAUAGAGAUACUUACUCUGUUAUAUUAAGUUUCAAAUUUUUCUUGAAACUAUCUCCUUUAGGGUUAAAACAUUACUUUGUUAUAUUAAUAUUUUUCUUAAAGUUAUCAUCUCUAGGUUUAGAAAUUAAUUUAAAAAUAGCUCCUUUACUCUUAGAAAAAGAUAAAAUUAGAUUAGAAUACAUAGGUAAUAUUAAUAUGUUAGAUAGAAUAAUUCUUUUUGAUGACUUUAAAUUGAAUAACAAGUUAAGGAUUGG